rnacentral:snRNA from 1 species
GGAUCUGAGGGCAAUCAGGCUGCAAUAUUUGUCACCCCAUUGAUCACCAGGGUUGACUUAGCUGCCCUGGCUGGCUGGGUGACUGUCCCUUUCCUCACCACUCCACGUGCCUCCCUCCCGAAGCCAUGAGAGGAGGACCGUUCUUGGGUCAAGGGUAAGCGAGUAGCUGCCCUCCCUGUUAGAACCUUCACAUGAGCUCUCAAGGAGUAGGGUAAGGGUGCUUAACCCAUGGGGACAGGCCCAGAAGCCUUUGACAGACUUUCCUCAGGGUCCGUGAGC